CCUACGGGAGGCAGCAGUGAGGAAUAUUGGUCAAUGGGCGAGAGCCUGAACCAGCCAAGUAGCGUGCAGGAAGACGGCCCUAUGGGUUGUAAACUGCUUUUAUAAGGGAAUAAAGUGAGCCUCGUGAGGCUUUUUGCAUGUACCUUAUGAAUAAGGACCGGCUAAUUCCGUGCCAGCAGC
rnacentral:rRNA from 1 species